rnacentral:rRNA from 1 species
UACGUAGGGUGCAAGCGUUGUCCGGAAUUAUUGGGCGUAACGAGCUCGUAGGCGGCUUGUCGCGUCGGCUGUGAAAACCUAGGGCUCAACCCUGGGCCUGCAGCCGAUACGGGCAAGCUAGAAUUCGGUAGGGGAGACUGGAAUUCCUGGUGUAGCGGUGAAAUGCGCAGAUAUCAGGAGGAACACCGGUGGCGAAGGCGGGUCUCUGGGCCGAUAUUGACGCUGAGGAGCGAAAGCGUGGGGAGCGAACAGG